rnacentral:rRNA from 1 species
AACGAACGCUGGCGGCGUGUUUAAGACAUGCAAGUCGCACGGUGUCAUUUUGGUAGCAAUACUUGGAUGGCACAGUGGCGCACGGGUGAGUAACACGUGAAUGACAUGCCCUUCAGAGGGGGAUAGCCCAGGGAAACUUGGAUUAAUACCCCAUGGUCUCGCAAGAGUAAAGGUGGCCGCCAGGCUGUCGCUGGAGGAUUGGUUCGCGUUCUAUUAGGUUGUUGGCGGGGUAACGGGCCACCAAGGCUCCGACGGAUACCUGGUCUGAGAGGAAGAUCAGGCACACUGGAACGGGGACACGGUCAGACACCUACGGGUGGCAGCAGUCGAGAAUAAUUCACAAUGGGGGCAACCCUGAUGGUGCAACGCCGCGUGGAGGAUGAAGGUCUUCGGAUUGUAAACUCCUGUCAUCCGGGAGCAAGACCUGACGGUGAAUAGCCGGCAGGGUUGAUAGUACCGGAAGAGGAAGGGACGGCUAACUUCGUGCCAGCCGCCGCCGUAAGAC